ensembl:snoRNA
UGCAGCAGUGCUGCUUAUGGACUAAGACUUAUGGACAGCUGCAAAAAAUCCACUUUUGCAACUCAAAACUCACUGUUCAGUAGGAGUUUCGAUACAUAAGAAGGAAUAAG